GACAGAGGGUGCAAACGUUGUUCGGAAUUACUGGGCGUAAAGCGCGUGUAGGCGGCCCUGUAAGUCGGGUGUGAAAUCCCACGGCUCAACCGUGGAAGUGCAUUCGAAACUACAGGGCUAGAGUUCUGGAGAGGAAGGUGGAAUGCUUGGUGUAGAGGUGAAAUUCGUAGAUAUCAAGCGGAACACCGGUGGCGAAGGCGGCCUUCUGGACAGUAACUGACGCUGAGACGCGAAAGUGUGGGGAGCGAACAGG
rnacentral:rRNA from 1 species